CCUCUAGCUGCAAAGGAGUCUGGGAAGUUUUUGCUUGAUUCGAAUCUCUGCAAAGGAAUGUGUGUCUUCAUUCCCUUACUUAAAUUCUGAUAAAAUAACAGGAGCAUUAGCAGCAUCCUCCUAUCCCUUGAUAUAAGCAACCCUUCUACAUCCAUCCAUAUACCCUCCUAUCCAGUUAUCCACAGGAAACGUCAGAGUCUGGGUCUGGAACAGCAGCCAAGGUUGAGACCACAGUCUGACUGCCCUUGCAUUGUCAGCCGUCGUUCUUCAGAUCCAGGAUACACCUGCCUGAGUCAUACAGGAUGAAGGGUGACCCCCAUUGGUGAGCUUUGUGGGCAAGUAACCUCACCAAGGGAUCAAACAAGAACACUUAGCACACUGCCGAGCACGUGGUCAGCACCCAAGAAAAUGUCAAAAGCCAACCAACUACAGAAUCCAGGAGAAGGCCAGUGAGUCACGGCAGUGGCUGAGGUCUUGCUGAGCAGUGCACAAAGGGGAGACCGGGGAAUCGCUGCCCGUGGGGCUCCCCUUGGAGGGGAGACCGGCUGACUGUGUGCAGGCACAGGCGGAGGAGACCGAACAGUGCUGAUCUGGUAGCCGUGGAGAGAAAGGAAACCACACUGGAGUCCACAGCAGAUUGUGAUUAAAGGAAAAAACAGAGGACCAUGCAGAGGACUGCACAGAGAGGUCUUCCGGAGACUUCACCUGUCCUCCACGGGGACACAGUGACCUGUGCAGGGAGGGGCCUGCUCUCAGCAGUGUUUCUCCGAGUGUGGGCGCUCAGAGCGGCUCCUGGGAUGAUGUUAGUUGGUUCGUGCAUGCCAGACCCUAUGCAACAUUAAAUCACUGAGAACAGUCCCUCCCCUUUCCAAUUCUCCUUCAAGCCUUUGAAGUCACGGGAAAAAAAAAUCAACUCGGUGCCUGUGUGUUUCUGACACCUCAUGAAUGCUCCUAAUUUCCCUUUUAGAUGAGUGGGUCUUAGAGUCAGGGUCCACCUAGCACGUAAGCUCCCUAGGGUUUCAUAACGGGGUUCUGUUUACCAUGGAUGUGCUUUAUUCUCAAAGUCGGUCUUCCAUUUCUGGCAGUGAUAUAAUACUUCCACCUUAAGCUCUUUAGAUCUUUUUUUUUUUUUCGCCACAGCACCACAUCGGUCCUCUUUAGAUCUUAACAAGCCAGUUAGCAUAAUGAAAGAUACCUGUUCGGGGCUGGUGCUGUGGUGCAGUAGGUUAAUCCUCUGCCUGGGCACCAGCAUCCCAUACGGGCGCUGGUUCUAGUCUGCUGCUCCUCUUCUGAUUCACCUCCCAUCUAUGGCCUGAGAAAGCAGUAGAAGAUGGCCUGAGCGCUUGGGCCCCAACACCAAGUGGGAAGCUGGGAAGAAGCACCUGGCUGCUGGCUUUGGAUUUGCACAGCUUCAGCCAUUACGGCCAUUUGGGGAGACCUUUCUCUCUGUCUCUCCCUCCCACUGUAUGUAACUCUACCUCUCAAAUAAAUAAAUAAAUAAAAU